UGUGUACUCCCUCCGUUCCAAAAUACUUGACUUCCAUUUGUCCAAAAAUGGAUGUACCUAUAUACUAAAACAUGUCUAGAUANAUGUACCUAUAUACUAAAACAUGUCUAGAUACAUAUAUAUUUUGACAAAUAGAAGGCAUGUAUUGUGCAAUGGAGGGAGUAGAAU
rnacentral:pre_miRNA from 1 species